rnacentral:SRP_RNA from 1 species
GGGUCUUGCGCAAUGAAUCCUGCGAACCGUGUCAGAUCGGGAACGAAGCAGCACUAAGCAGAUCCUUUCAUGUGCCGUAAGGGUGCCUGG